rnacentral:pre_miRNA from 1 species
AAUAAGCUCAGUUUUCAGUUUUUUUAUAUAAUGUUUUAACUCUUCGUCUUAUUUCGUCUUAUUUGAAAAUUGUUUGUGAUUAAUAUUUUAAUUCUUACUAGAUAAUAAAACAUGAAUAGUCCUUUAUGCGUGACUAAUUUGUUUAAGUUUUUAUAAAUUUUUUUUAAAUAAGACGAAUGGUCAAACGUUGGACACGAAAAAAUAAAGUUAUG